rnacentral:rRNA from 1 species
CGAAAGCCUGACGGAGCAACGCCGCGUGAGGGACGAAGGCCUCUGGGCUGUAAACCUCUUUUCUCAAGGAAGAAGACCUGACGGUACUUGAGGAAUAAGCCACGGCUAAUUCCGUGCCAGCAGCCGCGGUAAUACGGGAGUGGCAAGCGUUAUCCGGAAUUAUUGGGCGUAAAGCGUCCGCAGGCGGCCUUGAAAGUCUGUUGUUAAAGCGUGGAGCUUAACUCCAUUUCAGCAAUGGAAACUACAAGGCUAGAGUGUGGUAGGGGCAGAGGGAAUUCCCGGUGUAGCGGUGAAAUGCGUAGAUAUCGGGAAGAACACCAGUGGCGAAGGCGCUCAACUGGGCCGUAACUGACACUCAGGGACGAAAGCUAGGGGAGCG